rfam:Populus trichocarpa scaffold_5_contig_409, whole genome shotgun sequence.
UAAUUUAUUUGGGGAAGAUUUUCAUCUAGUUGUAAUAUAUUUAUAUUUGAUUGCUCAGAAUCAUCAGUUAUUAUAAAAUUAACUAUAUCAUUGACCCUUAUAAAAUAUAUUUAGAAAAAAUUGUUUAUAAAAUCAUGAU